rnacentral:rRNA from 1 species
AUUGAACGCUGGCGGAAUGCUUUACACAUGCAAGUCGAACGAUGAAGCCUAGCUUGCUAGGUGGAUUAGUGGCGGACGGGUGAGUAAUGUAUCGGAACGUAUCCAAUAAUGGGGGACAACUAGCCGAAAGGUUAGCUAAUACCGCAUACGCCCUGAGGGGGAAAGCUGGGGAUCUUCGGACCUGGCGUUAUUGGAGCGGCCGAUAUCUGAUUAGCUAGAUGGUGAGGUAAUGGCUUACCAUGGCGACGAUCAGUAGCUGGUCUGAGAGGACGACCAGCCACACUGGGACUGAGACACGGCCCAGACUCCUACGGGAGGCAGCAGUGGGGAAUUUUGGACAAUGGGGGCAACCCUGAUCCAGCCAUUCCGCGUGAGUGAAGAAGGCCUUCGGGUUGUAAAGCUCUUUCGCAAGAGAAGAAACGGUAUAGGUUAAUAGCCUAUGCUAAUGACGGUAUCUUGACAAGAAGCACCGGCUAACUACG